AAACUUGUUUGUUCAACCCUUGCCGUUCGGCAAGGGUGCCUUGAGCAAAUUGUACCUCACCUUUUUUGAGCUCGUUCCAAGUCUUGAGCUGAUACCGUCCGUUUUGUUGUAUAACGUGGAUAAAUUUCAAGCCACAUUCUCUGUUGUUGUUGCCGUUCGGCAAGGAGAUUCGGAGGGUGUUUUGCUUCAAUAAGAGAUGUCGAUGCGGAAGCAGAGCAGUUGGUGAUGCCUGAGUAGGUGCCAACACGGAAGCGCCAUGGGUGCCGUUUGGUAUAUUGGAACCCUUCGGAAUCAGCAAUGUCGUUCAUGGUGCGACGAAGAACUAGCAAGAUGAAAGGUCCUGGAGCUCGUGAUUGGGCUAAACGAUGAUGCAUUGUGAGGCAUCAACACUUGUGCUGGCUUUCUCUUCAUCCCAUGUGUGGUUUGCUUCUCCCAUAUUUUCAUCUUUUGAACCGUGUGUCAUAGGUCCCACCUUUUAUUGUAGAAGCUGGAAUGUAUUGGUAGUGAGAGUCUUAAGGCUGCUUUGUGAUUGUUGUGAUUCUUGUCGUCCGAUAAGAACAUGUGUGGUCUCUGAUAGCCACCGAUUUAAAGGUGGGUGUGUUGAGUAUUUAUUGGCAUGGGUGCCGAACGGUAGCUUAUGAAAAAUAAGUAAGGUGGAGGUUUGGAAAUAUCAGUUGGCUUGAAGGAUGAGGUGCCGAACGAUACCGUGAGCCUUUGCAUUGAUGAUGAGGUGCCUCCAGGGUGACUUGAAUAAUUACUCAGUCUGUGGGUGCCGAACGGCAGCUUUGGGUUCCACUAGUAUUUAAGGGGAGCAUGACGCAGGACGGUAGCUAGGUGCCUGCAGAGAUACCUUCUGUUUCAUAUUUGCCAAAUGGCCAGAAGCAAUGUUUUAUUGCCAUCCCACUUCCAAGUGCAUGUGCCUUUCUAGAGCCACGUUCGGAAGCUGGUCAAGUGGCAUGGAGAUGGUGAUCUUUCAAAGCUCUUGGGUGCCUUGAGCAAUAUCCUUUAUAUGGGUGUGCCGUUUGGCUUGGCCAUUGAAAUUGUUCCAGGCUUUCCUAUAUGGCAAAUAGGACAAAAUAGCACUAAAAUGAGAAUGAAUGAAUGCUAGCCCACCGAUUAAGCCACUUGAAUAAUAUAUGCAAUCAUUGAAUUGCAUGCUUACGAAUAUACUAAAAUAUAAGAUAAGGCAAUGUGAU